CCUACGGGUGGCAGCAGUGAGGAAUAUUGGUCAAUGGCCGGAAGGCUGAACCAGCCAAGUCGCGUGAGGGAAGAAGGCCCUAUGGGUUGUAAACCUCUUUUGUCAGGGAGCAAAGGCGUCCACGUGUGGACGAGAGGAGAGAACCUGAAGAAAAAGCAUCGGCUAACACCGUGCCAGCAGCCGCGGUAUUACGGAGGAUGCGAGCGUUAUCCGGAUUUAGUGGGUUAAAGGGGUGCGAAGGCGGGCUGUAAGGUCAGCGGUAAAAUUUCGGGGCUCAACCCCGUCGUGCCGUGGAAACUGGGGCGCUUGAGUGCGUGAGAGGUAAGCGGAAUGCGUGGUGUAGCGGUGAAAGGCAUAGAGAUCACGCAGAACGCCGAUUGCGAAGGCAGCUUACCGGCGCUCAACUGACGCUGAGGCACGAAAGUGCGGGUAUCGAACAGGAUUAGAGACCCGUGUAGUC
rnacentral:rRNA from 1 species